rnacentral:snRNA from 1 species
ACUAUCCUUAUCUUGGGGUUGCGCUACUGUUCAAUGAACAUCUAGUGAGAACAGUACUGCUAACACCUACACAACACUUAAAAGGGCCUUGGUGGUGCA